rnacentral:rRNA from 1 species
CACCCGCAGCUCGAGUGGUGGUCACUUUUAUUGAGCCUAAAGCGUUCGUAGCCGGCUCUGUAAAUCUUCCGACAAAUUCUUCUGCUUAACGGAAGAUCCUCUGGAGAGACUGCAGAGCUAGGGACCGGGUGAGGUUGAAGGUACUUCUGGGGUAGGGGUAAAAUCCUGUAAUCCUGGAAGGACGACCGGUGGCGAAGGCGUUCAACUAGAACGGAUCCGACGGUGAUGAACGAUGGCUAGGGGAGCAAACAGG